UAGAGUUUGAUCCUGGCUCAGAUUGAACGCUGGCGGCAUGCCUUACACAUGCAAGUCGGACGGCAGCGCGGGAGCAAUCCUGGCGGCGAGUGGCGAACGGGUGAGUAAUACAUCGGAACAUGUCCAGUAGUGGGGGAUAGCCCGGCGAAAGCCGGAUUAAUACCGCAUACGAUCUAUGGAUGAAAGCGGGGGAUGCAAGACCUCGCGCUAUUGGGGUGGCCGAUGGCGGAUUAGCUAGUUGGUGGGGUAAAGGCCUACCAAGGCGACGAUCCGUAGCUGGUUGAGAGGACGACCAGCCCCUGGGACUGAGACACGGCCCAGACUCCUACGGGAGGCAGCAGUGGGGAAUUUUGGCAAUGGGGGCAACCCUGAUCCAGCAAUGCCGCGUGUGUGAAGAAGGCCUUCGGGUUGUAAAGCACUUUUGUCCGGGAAGAAAUCCCCUGCCCUAAUACGGCGGGGGGAUGACGGUACCGGAAGAAUAAGCCCGGCUAAUCGCCGCGCGCGGUAA
rnacentral:rRNA from 1 species